UGGGGAAUAUUGCGCAAUGGGCGAAAGCCUGACGCAGCGACGCCGCGUGGGUGAUGAAGGCCUUCGGGUCGUAAAACCCUGUCGGGUGGAACGAAUCUCCUCUUCUCUAAUACAGGAGAGGAUUGACGGUACCACCGAAGGAAGCCCCGGCUAACUACGUGCCAGCAGCCGCGGUAAUACGUAGGGGGCGAGCGUUGUUCGGAUUUACUGGGCGUAAAGAGCGCGUAGGUGGUUCGAUGAGUCGGAUGUGAAAUCCCUCGGCUCAACCGAGGACCCGCGUCCGAUACUGUCGAACUUGAGUGCAGGAGAGGAGAGCGGAAUUCCCAGUGUAGCGGUGAAAUGCGUAGAUAUUGGGAGGAACACCGGUGGCGAAGGCGGCUCUCUGGACUGUCACUGACACUGAGGCGCGAAAGCUAGGGGAGCAAACGGGAUUAGAUACCCCGGUAGUCCUAGCCGUAAACGAUGGGCACUAGGUGUGGGAGGUAUCGACCCCUUCCGUGCCGCAGCUAACGCAUUAAGUGCCCCGCCUGGGGAGUACGGCCGCAAGGUUG
rnacentral:rRNA from 1 species